UACGGGGGGGGCAGGCGUUGUUCGGAAUUACUGGGCGUAAAGGGCUCGUAGGUGGCCCACUAAGUCAGACGUGAAAUCCCUCGGCUUAACCGGGGAACUGCGUCUGAUACUGGAUGGCUUGAGAUUGGGAGAGGGAUGCGGAAUUCCAGGUGUAGCGGUGAAAUGCGUAGAUAUCUGGAGGAACACCGGUGGCGAAGGCGGCAUCCUGGACCAACACUGACACUGAGGAGCGAAAGCCAGGGGAGCAAACGGG
rnacentral:rRNA from 1 species